UACGUAGGUGACAAGCGUUGUCCGGAUUUACUGGGCGUAAAGAGCGCGCAGGCGGUCGUUCAAGUCGAGUGUGAAAGCCCCCGGCUCAACUGGGGAGGGUCAUUCGAUACUGAUCGACUCGAAGGCAGGAGAGGGAAGUGGAAUUCCCGGUGUAGUGGUGAAAUGCGUAGAUAUCUGGAGGAACACCGGUGGCGAAGGCGGCAUCCUGGACCGGCAUUGACGCUGAGGCGCGAAAGCCAGGGGAGCAAACGGG
rnacentral:rRNA from 1 species